rnacentral:rRNA from 1 species
CCCUCCUUUUUUUUUUACCACUACGGGCUGCUCAGUACGGCGAGUGAGCGGCACAGCUCAAUUUGAAAGCCCGCGGGCGUUGUAAUUUGAGCGGUGAUGGGUUUGGGGCGGGCGCUGUCUACGUUCCUUGGAACAGGACGCCGCAGAGGGUGAGAGCCCCGUGCGAUGGCGCCUCCAACCGCGUAAAACUCCGCCGACGAGUCGAGUUGUUUGGGAAUGCAGCUCCAAGUGGGUGGUAAAUUCCAUCUAAAGCUAAAUACUGGCGAGAGACCGAUAGCGAACAAGUACAGUGAUGGAAAGAUGAAAAGCACUUUGAAAAGAGAGUGAAACAGCACGUGAAAUUGUUGAAAGGGAAGGGUAUGCGAUUAGCGGCCAGCAGGAGGUGCCUUCUCGUGAAAAGGCCGUGCACCGUCUUCGGACACCGUGCGCGGAGAUGGCGAGGGGGCGCCUGAGGUCUGCGACUCGAGGUUGCUGGCGUAAUGAUUGCAUACCACCCGUCUUGAAACACGGACCA